CUUACUCCUGAAUUAGGCUGCUAUGCAGCCAGAAAUACAGUAUACAAAAUGAGAAGGCAAAACUGGCCUCUGUUUGAAUUUCAACUUUAAGAGCUGUCAGGUGGUUUUGCGAGUCCUCAGGGUCUAUACACAGCUUCAUACCCUGGUCUGACCAUAUGAAGAAAAUCCAUCUCCUUUGAUGAGUUCGCCUUCCUUUUUGAACCUCAGACUGUCUGAAGAAUGUAAGAAGUGCCCUACUGGAUGGGAACAGAAUCCAUCCAGCACUGGGUCUGGUCUGCAACAGCGGCAGGUGGAAAGGCUGUUGUGGUAGAGCAGAGCCCGUUUUUUUUCUGUGGUUUGCUCCCUUUGUGCUUGUUGUACUACAGAUGAUGGAGGACACAUUCAUGCGUGGUCUUUUUGAAUCCAUUUAUGGACAAGUGGUCUCAUGAAUUUGUCUAAAUGCUUUUGAACUGCUGAUCUGUUAACCUGGAUACCGAACCUCCAUUUAAAUGGCACUUUAAAAGCUUUUCUUAAAUAAAUAAAUAAAAUCUGCGGAAGGGCUUGACCAAGAGCCCUUGCUGCAGGAAAAAAAAAAAAAAAAACUGGAAUUGUUAUUAAGUUUAUAACAGUUUUGUGACCAUGACAGUUGUCUUUCAUGUGGAGCUGAUUUUGUGACAUAUAUGAUAUCUAUUUGCCUCACACUGUGCAAUCGAUAUUACUGUGUACUUUAAUUUUUUCUUCACAGGAACAUUCAAUUAGGCGGAAUAUUCAGUAACCAGCCUCAUAUUAGUAAUGAUUUUCUGUGUCCAUACAGGCCUGCUGGAGGUCACUGCAGGGGAAGACAGAAGAGCAACCCAUCUCUGCCUACAAUGAGCAAUGCCAGACCAGGGAAGGAAUAUGCUAUUUCAUCUUCUUCUUGGGAGGCUCUGUGGAAUCUCUCUUGCUAGAAAAAUUGUGCAAAUGCAAUGUGUAGCACUGUCACAUUUUUUCUACAGAAGCAGAGAAGAAUCAAGGGAAUCAAUACUACUACACUGUAAUUCAUCCAAUUAAUUAUGUAUCAGUGUAGAAAUAUUAUUAAAUCUCCAUUUCAGAAUAACUGAUCAAUUCAAGGAGCAAUAACACUAAAAGUCUAUCCUGAAUUGUUCCCCAGAAAUCAGCAAGGAUCCUCCUACCACUUUUCAUCUCCAUAUGAACAUUACCCAUUAAGCCUCUUCGCUUAUUCUAUACCCUUCAGUACCAGUCCACUGUUUGGUCUUUUCCUCCUUUGAAAUUAGUCAGACUAGGUUUAUGCCCAUAAAGUCUUACUGGGAGAAACAUGACUCAGCUGUAGGGCAGCUAUACAUUAUUAAUUAAUGCUUAGUUUUCAAAUAAACCUUCUUGCUAGCUUGUACACCACUAUUGUUUGUUUUCAACCACAGAAGUUCAAUCUAUCACAGAAAAUUUUAGAUUGAAAUAAAUAUUCACCCAGCUUUUCCGUUCUUAGAUUUUUCCCUCUGAAACAGCCUUCCAAUCCAUGCUGGUAAGAUUCCCUUUCCUCAGGAAGUUGUACUAAUAAUUUUCCAAAAAUAUUAGCAGGGGAUCCAUAGCAACUGUUGAUAUGAGUCAAAGUGAUUUAAGAGAGAUCUUAGCAACCUUCUGUUAAGAUAUACUGUAUACAGCCUCCCCCACUUAGCAAAAUCCCACAAUAUGGCAAGAAAGAUUUGUAUGUCUAAGAAUAGCUACCUACACACAUUUUUCAAGAUGACUGAGCCAUAAUGAUUUAAAUCCUCCCUACCACAGUUUCAGCAAGAUGUGCCUCUACAACACUAUAUCAAAGUGUUCUGUUCAGAGUUUUGAAUCUUCUUCCUUUUUUAAAUCACACCAUUAACAUCCUUGACAUUUUAGAAAUAAUGUUUAUUGAUUUUUCUGUUAACAUUGCUAUAAAUUAAGUGAUGUAAUGGACAGGAUUAUUGAAGUUCUAUAAAGAAUAUGUCUUUCAGAUUCUUAACUACAUAUUGAAAAAGCGCAGACUCUGGAAAAAUACUGCAGUUCUGUGCUGUUCUUGGGAAGUUUUCAUUUGGAUGACUACUUUUUAUGUGACAGAAUAGACAUAUAACAGAGAUGAUAUUACAACUACCUGCUAAGUACCACAUGACAGGAGAAAAACAUCUGAUUUAGGUGAAAUUGAGAAAUAAACAAUAGUAACAAAUCAGACACAGGAGAAUUCCUUAUCACUUGCUGUUCUGAAAUUUAAAAUCUGUGGGACAGGGUUGCAAAUAUUCCAUUUUGUAGUAGAAGUGUUGUUAGUAAAUGCAAAUAGCUUUCUUCAUUGUAGAUGAGGAUUCAUAAAAGGGCUGAAUAGACUGAACAUGAAGAUGCAUGCACAGUGCAGAAGGAAAACAGCACAAUCAUCUUCAGCCUCAUUCAAUUAGCAUUGGUGUCAGCAGCCCACACCUUUCUGUUUUAAGGGUUACACAAGGUGAGCCUGUAAGCUAAGACCUGGAACAGCGUGGAGGAUCUUUUAACAGACUACCACAUAGACAACAAUGAUCUACCACAUUUAGGAAUUUAAUAUAGCCCUGAGAUUAAAGACUUGCAACUGUCCUCACAAAGUACUGCAUUGAGAGUCAGUAUCAGAAUGUCUGAUGUCUUUUUUUUUUUUUUUCUGGGGUGACAGCAAAGCACUAGAAGAACCAAAACACCAACCUAUUGGCAGCAAAAACAGAACCGACAUACAAUAAAUGAACUUUGUCCACUCCCAUGGUUAGGAGGAGUGCCCUGCAGGCAGAGCCCUAAAUCAUAUUUUGAUAACAGAAGCAUCUGGGUCUGAAGAGGUUUUGGUAAAACCUGAUGAGGGACAGGGAAUGAGCAAGGCAGCAUGUGCUCUGUUAACUUCCAUGAUCUUUCAGAGUCCUGACUCACAGAUUAGUUUUUUAGACUGUUUCUACAGAACCUUCAAGUCACCAAGCCUUCAUUCUUGUUUUAUUGGGCAGUUUUUCAACUGCUGAGCCUCCUGUAAUAAUGCAAUUCGAUUUCUAUCCUUGGAUGUUUGAUUUUACAUUCCAUCAUCACGAAGCAUUGAUUAAAACUUAGCAGAUUUACUUGAUUGUGUUUAUGACUUUGUUUUCUCAGGGCAAGGUCAGGGUUUAUGACAACAUGACACUCAUAAAAAACAAAACAAAAAAAAUUUUUUGGUGAUGCUUGUUUCCUGACUGUGAUCAGAUCUAUUCUUCAACUUUUAAAAUCAUCUUGUUAGUUUGCUUAAAAACAGAAAAAAGUAACUGAGACAUGGACUGGCACAAAUGAGAAGAAGCAAAAAUGAACUCGGGCACAUAUGUUCAGGGAUUUAUAUCCAAAAUUCUCUAAAAUUCUCACUUUGCUUCCUCCUAGCCUUUGGAAGACCUGUUUCUCAGAGUGCUAAGUCCCCCCUCACAGAAGAAGAAAACAUUUUUCUGCUACUUGCCAUGGGCAUAAACAACUAUAUCUGGAGAACAUAAACCUCUGGCCUACACCCCAAACUGAAUCCCACAGCCAUCCACACAACAUGCCUACCAAACCUGGUAUUGUACAAAACAUACCAAAAAGAAAGAAGAGAUGGCCAUUAUAUCCCGCUUUACUCUACAAGCAAGUAAAGAACUAAUCUGAGACACGAGACCUAGAUUCAGAUUUCUUUUCUUCUUGAUUUAGAGUAAAGCUCUUAACUUCAUAGGAAAGUAGCCACACCACUGUACCACUGAGCUGCAUUUUGGAGGUGGGAAUGUGUCACUCUUCCCUGCUGAAGUUGUUCUGUGCACAUUUUUAUAAACACCCCCCAGCACAAAGACAGGAUGAAAAUGGCUAGUGCCUUCACCCAUUGUCCAAACCAAUAAAUAUUCUACUAUUUUGUAAUAAGUUUUGGAAGGUGCCUGGAAAAUAAAUGGGUCUUCUUAGUUCACCUUUUAAUAGGUAACUAUAUGCAUCAUCAGGCCAUAAUUUUGAAAAGCAAGUAUGUAAAAAUUAGAGGACAAAAUCUGCUAUUCACAGGUACUUACCUUAAUACUCUGUAUUGUCAACUUCUACAAGAAGGACCAAAUACCAUGUAAUUUCAGGACAGAAGUUCUAGCUAUAAACAUAAGUUACAUUUAACUGCUGCACAUCUCCCAUUCAUGCUGGAGAAUAUUUCCAAAACAACAAAAGUUAAACUAAUAAACCUUUACCUUUACAGAUAAACUGAAAAACUGAAACUUUGUUUUAAAUUUCUGGUUGUUAAAUAAUGCACUACCCUGUCAUAAAAUGUGCUCACUUUAAGAUUAAGAUUUCUCCACCUUUGUUUCAGGUCUAUUCUCUGUUCUCCACUGUUUGUUUUGGAUCCUUUCUCCUGUUCUUGUGGUCUUUCUUUUCAAAUUGUCUCAUCAUUUAGCAUAUCACCAAGACAUGUUUGGACUUCUGCUGAUUUACUAUGCCUCUGGUGUAUCAUAUCUGGAUUUUAAAGCAGUGAACCUGCCGUUCAUUUACACGAAGAAGGACCAUUACGUUGGAGCUUUUUUACACAAUACCACUAUGUAUCUACCUAAAACUGUACUGGACUUCUCUGCUAAAUAUAAGAGCAUAUGUGAGAGAAAUGUGUCUCUCUUGCUGCCAUCCCUUAUCACGAUAUACUUCAUCAUUCCUUUCUAUAGACUUUUAUUCACAUUUACCGUAAAUUUUUUUUUUAGCUGGAUACUUUUGCUUGGAGGUUUUGGAGAAUGCUCCUGGGUUGUUUUUUUCCUGUUAUUAAUUGAAAUCUCUCCAGUGCUAUUUUUACAUUCAUCCUAUUUGCAAGGCUCAGGAAGUGAUUGUCCCUCUGUACUUGGCUCUAGUGGAGCCGCACUUCAAGUGCUGUGUUCAGCUUUGGGCCCCUCACUACAGGGACAUGGAGGUGCUCAAGAGAAUCCAGAGAAGGGCGAUGAAACUGGUGAGGGGUCUGGAGAACAAGUCCUACGAGGAGCGGCUGAGGGAACUGGGGUUGUUCAGCCUGGAGAAGAGGAGGCUCAGGGGAGACCUCAUUGCUCUCUACAGAUACCUGAAAGGAGCUCGUAGCAAGAUGGGGAUUGAGCUCUUCUCCCAGGCACCAAGUGAUAAGACAAGGAGAAACAGCCUCAAAUUCACCAGGGGAGGUUUAGAUUGGACAUUAGGAUAAGUUUCUUUACUGAAAGGGUUGUGUGGCAUUGGAAUAGGCUGCCCAGGGAAGUGGCUGAGUCCCUGGAGAUCUACAAGAAACAUGUAGAUGUAGAACUUAAUAGCAUGGUUUAAUGCUGGACUUGCCCCUAUUAGGUUAAAGAUUAUACUAGAUGAUCUUAGAGGUCUUUUCCAACAUGAAUGAUUCUAUGAUUCAUGACAUUUCUGUCUUCCUUUGUAAACACCGAUUUUUCUUACUUGUCAUUAAGGCCAAUACAUAACUAGCUUAGGAAGUACAUUAAAAAGUCAGGAAAAAAACAGGGAUGGCAGUCUGAGGUGCCCAGAAGAUCCCCUAGGGCAUCCUAAUUCAUGCUGAAUGGGACAAACCAGCUGAGGGGCAACUGAGGAAAGCUUUCUUUGUAUUUCAGGAAAGUUAUAACAGGCACUCAGAAAGGAGCUUCUUCGAAAGAGUACGUUUCUAAAAUCCACUAAUUCAAAAAUGCAAAGUGACAUUCUUUCAGAAUACGUAGAGAGUAAUAGCUAAUGCAGGAUAUCCUCAAAAGCAUCUACAAAAUUACAAGGAAGAUAUUCAGGACACAGACAUGCCAUGUCUGCAACUCCCUUUCUGACUCUUCAAAAAGAAGCUAAAAUCACAGUUGGCAACAGUUCUGAAAUGCAACAGUAAUCCAUAAAUACUCCUUAAUUUUCCUGUCAUUGCAGAAUUAAGCUACUUCCAGCUAACACAGAUCUUACCAGGUGUGCUAAAUUGAUGUCAUUAUAAGCCAUCAGGAAAUACCCACAGAGACCUGUAGCAACAUUUAGAAGUUUUGUUAAACAGCUGUGUGUUAUAAUUGAUUUGUAUUAUUUAAAACAGCUAAAGCAAGUUAUCUCCGGAUGUAGAAAAGGGAUGACUGAAGACUCCAGGGAGAUUUAACUCACAUGAAAGCCAAUCACAGGAACUUCAUUUGAGCAUUUUAAGAUUAUUACUAGAGGAAGUGCAAUUAAAUCAUCACCAUUUAUCAAUUAUCAUUAUAAAAUACUAUGCAACCUUAUCAUACUAAUUUAUUUAUGAGAAGAGUAUAAGACAAAACAUAGUUGUAUUACAACUGUACACUGGCAUGCUAUACACAUUUCAUAAAACACUUAAAAUUCCAAAAUCAGCCUUUGUUAAAAGGUGGGACUGUAAGCUAUCCACAAGCCAGAACAGCUCAUCUGGGAAAUACCUGAGAUGUCAGCCCCAAAGGAUUCCUAGCAUCUGCCUGUAAUUAAGAGUUACUGGUCUCUAUCUACCAGCAAUGGAUUUUCAAAUGGAUUGAAAGCAAAGUUAAUUGAAUCCUCUGCCUUUCUAUGCAGAAAUGGUCAUGAUUUAGCUCUGAAUCUUAAACUUGAGCUAUGAAUCACAAAACUUUACAAUCUGAACUACAAAACUUUCUUGUGCAGAAAGGGAGUUAUCAGCUAAUCUAUUAUUUUAUUAAAUCUAAUUUUCUCAUCUUCAUUCUGUAGGAGACAACCCAGAUAAUUAAUACUUUAUUUAAAAGCAUCUAUUAUGACAGAAUCUGCAAACUCACAAUUAGAAUUCAGAAAUGCACAACAAACAUCUGAAAACCAAUGCCUGUUAAGUUCUCAGGGAGCUAUUAUAAUACAAAUAAUAGUCUGUGGCUGCAAAAACAUUAACGUUGCCUGUGUUCCCAUGAUUGAGUGCCAUUUAAAAAUAGGCAUCCUGUAAUUAAGUUGUAUUAGUUGAAUUAUGGAAACACCUGUAGACCUCAGUUGAGGUUAUACUCCUGUUGCACCAGCUGCUCCCGUAAGAGACCUGUGUACCUGGAAGCAGCUAAGAUCAAGAAGCCAGUGAUGGAAGUGGGGAAAGAAAGGAGACAUUGGUAUCUUCCUCUGAUGAUAAAAAACCUCACACCUGGAGAGUUCCCACUCUUUGUCCAAACUUGCACUGGAGGCCUGGAGCUGAGUGGAGAACCCAGAGUGCACAGCUCAGCUCUGAGCCACAUCUUCCUGGGCACAAACGGGACUGUUUUCGAGACAGCCACCAUCACAAUUCUACGAAUAGGACAUAAAUUGCUGAAAUAAUCUAGUGACUUUAAGACCACUUCAAAUAAAAGUGAUUUGAAUACCUCUAAAACAAGGCACUGAUAACAGAGUUUACUAAUCU